AUCACGUAGUACUCAAAAAAUUGGUAAAAGAAAGAAAGCUAGGACAACUGAUUCUUUCUGUUCCCACAGGACUACUCGUCACCUCGGCAAAAGAUCUUCCUCCCCUGAAACAAGCAGAAUGGGGGUGGUUGGUGGCCAUGUUCACACCCAUACUUGAUAUUGACUUCCACAAUGCAAGGAUUCAAGGUGUACAGCUUCCUGUGAGAAUGUAAACUGGCAGUUCUCUGUGGUGGCCUGCCGGGGUGCCAAAGGUCCUUUUAAUGCCUUUGAAAAGAUGCAUUGUCCUGAGUCAUCCAAGAGGAUGAACAGUGUGAGCUUGGAGCUAGACUGAAGACUCUCCGUCCUCUGCCUGAAUCCACAUGCAGUCCCUUUGGCAAUUGAAGUUACAAGGAUAACAUCUCUUUUGUUGACAUAAAACAUGGGAGCUUCAGUGGCAGGAUCUCAUUAUCUGAUUACAGAUGUGACUUUGAAGUAAUCUCUCUGAAUGAGCAUUUUAGGAAGAGUUGUUGCUCCCAGGCCAAGCCCAAGGUUGUGGAAGAGGAUUUGCAAAGGGCAUCAGAAAAGAUGACUGAAAGGGUUCUCCAUUCCCAAGCAAGAGGGAACCCUGAUGGCCAGAAGGAACACAGGAACCACAGCGCAUGGCACAGAACAGUGACCAGGAAGGCCGAAGG
rnacentral:lncRNA from 1 species